AAGUAACGUUGGCGGCGUGGACUAGGCAUGCAAGUCGAGCGAGAAUCUGUCUGUUGAUCCUUCGGGUGAUUCAGUCAGAGGAAAGCGGCAAACGGCGUAGUAAUGCGUAGGUACGUACCCUCAGAUCGGGAAUAGCCACGGGAAACUGUGGGUAAUGCCCGAUAAUGUCUGAUGACCAAAGGUGUGAUUCCGUCUGAGGAGCGGCUUACGUGAUAUUAGCUUGCUGGUGGGGUAAUGGCCUACCAGGGCGAUGAUGUCUAGGGGGUGUGAGAGCAUGGCCCCCACGACCGGAACUGAGAUACUGUCCGGACACCUACGGGUGGCUGCAGUCGAGAAUCUUCCGCAAUGGACGAAAGUCUGACGGAGCAACGCCGCGUGCGGGAUGAAGGCCCUUGGGUUGUAAACCGCUGUCAGAGGGGAUGAAAUCAGGAUAGGCAAUCCUUUCCUGUUGACAAAGCCCCAGAGGAAGCACGGGCUAAGUACGUGCCAGCAGCCGCGGUAACACGUACUGUGCGAACGUUAUUCGGAAUCACUGGGCUUAAAGGGUACGUAGGCGGUUAUUCAAGUCAGGUGUGAAAUGCCUGAGCUCAACUGAGGCACUGCGCUUGAAACUGAAUGACUAGAGUAUUUCCAGGGGUGUGCCGGAACUGCCCAGUGGAGCGGUGAAAUGCCGUUUGAUAUUGGCCAGGAACCCCCGGAGGCCAAGGC
rnacentral:rRNA from 1 species